AAAGGUAGUCUAACCAAGACA
rnacentral:tRNA from 1 species